rnacentral:lncRNA from 1 species
GAGAGCCAGACUCCCAACAUGACUACUUUCUUAAAAAUCGAAGAGAGGGUAAAGGAACAGUACCAUUGCUGGAUAAUUGGAAAGUUCCUGUGUGUCAACCUCUGUGCUUCGUGGCAUGGUAGACUAGCAAACAUGCCCAACCUUUACUCACAUUCGAGAAAACACUACCAACAAGAUUGCUUGCUCCAAAAUCGAAGAGGCACCGCCCUCCGAAUCUCGAGAGCCAGACUCCCAACAUGAUUACUUUCUCAAAA